UACGGAGGAUCCGAGCGUUAUCCGGAUUUAUUGGGUUUAAAGGGUGCGUAGGUGGAUUGGUAAGUCAGUGGUGAAAGUUUGCAGCUUAACUGUAAAAUUGCCGUUGAAACUGCCGGUCUUGAGUGCAAAUGAGGUAGGCGGAAUGCGUCGUGUAGCGGUGAAAUGCUUAGAUAUGACGCAGAACUCCGAUUGCGAAGGCAGCUUACUGGGAUGACAACUGACGCUGAGGCAACGAAAGCGGUGGGUAUACAAACAGGAUUAGACUA
rnacentral:rRNA from 1 species